UCCCAUUGUCCCAGAGCACAAAUCCCAUCAUCUCAGGGGCCCCAUAAUUGGAGAUUAUCUCUGUGGCUAGUCCCUGCCCGAAUUGUAUGUAAAUUGUGUAAAGUAUUAGUCUUAUUUAUGUCUGUUAUGUUUGGCGAAUCUUGUAAAAAAAAAAAAAAAAUAAAAUAAAUCUCAGUGGCUGUCCUGCUCAAAUCUUAAUCUCAUUCCCAUUUUCUAUUGUUUUUUUGCUGAUGAAUCCCGGUCCACAGAAUAUAAAAGAUUAGUACCAGAAGGGCCACUCAGCGGUGCAACGUGUCGCCAUUUUUUUAUGCAAAAAUAUGCAGUUGACUGGCCAGAAGGCGGGGCCUGCAGCCAAUACAGCGUGUUUAUUGGCUAGAAAAUGUAAUCGACUGGCUAGGAAGAUGGCGGCCAGCGACACAGAAACUUCAAAGCUUCCGACGUAAGUGGCCCUUCUGUGUGGAUCUUUAUUCUGUGCCCAGUCCCAGUGCAUGAAAUCCCAUUUUCCCACCCAAAAAAUAAGCAAAUCCCAGUUCCCAUUUUACCCCUUCAGGACCCUCGAGGAAAAGUUAAAAACAGAUUUUUGAUUAAAGAUAAUUGAUAAUUCACUCAAAAAUUCAAAAAAUAGUGAAACCUUCUUCUGCACUAAUGCGCUUGGAUGAAUAUUUAAGUUUUUCAGAAAAAAUUCUUAGAUUUCCUUAGAUUUUUUCUCUUCCUUAGAUUUUCUUUUUCGACAGUAGAAUUUCCUUAGAAAAGGAAAUUUCCUUGAAAAUGGAAGCACUGAGUAGGCUAUCACUAAUAGCCUACUAGUAGCGUAGCCAAUCAGAAGGCACGAUAUGUG